rnacentral:rRNA from 1 species
ACGAGAGGGCCGCUACCACGCGAGUGGAUGCCAAUCCCCAAAACCUCUCUCAGUUCGGACUGGAGUCUGCAACCCGACUCCACGAAGCUGGAUUCGCUAGUAAUCGCGCAUCAGCCACGGCGCGGUGAAUACGUUCCCGGGCCUUGUACACACCGCCCGUCAAGCCAUGGGAGCCGGGGGUACCUGAAGUGCGUAACCGCGAGGAGCGCCCUAGGGUAAAACCGGUGACUGGGGCUAAGUCGUAACAAGGUAGC